UUAGGCAAACACAAACAUUUUUUUUACAACGGACGCCCACGAGUAUUCCUCUGCGUUGAAGUCAUUGUUGAAGUUUGAAAACUCAUAAAGUUUUGUUUUGUGAGUGAAACCGUGAAUAAUACUAAAUAAAAAUGUGUGACAGUGAUCACAGUGAUGAAAAUAUGUUGCCCACUACUCCUCAGGAAAUAUUAAAGCCUUUUCCGUUUAUGUUGUUCCGUUGUUUGCUAUUUUGACAACUUGAAAAGUUUUAUCGGCAGUUUGCGUGUUAUUACUGUGAAGUGUUUGGCCAAACCGCCGCUACCACUUUUGAAAGGAUGCCACCCAAAAAUCCAAAAAUUCGCUCGAACGCUGCACAAAUUAGAUUGCUCGUUGAAUACAUGUCACAGCACACCCGGUUCGCCAACCGGGAAUUUGACGGGCCUCUAAGGACCCCAGAGGUACGAGGCGCAAUGGGAGGCCCUUGCACAGGCCUUAAGGGAGCACGGGCCCAAUAAGUCAGUGCAGGCAUGGAAAGUGGUGGGCACCUGCUCCCCGCUGGCGACACCCUUGCAGAAGCUAGCAUUUUCAG